rnacentral:rRNA from 1 species
AGAAUCAACGCUGGCGGCGUGCCUAACACAUGCAAGUCGAACGAGAAAGUGGAGCAAUCCAUGAGUAAAGUGGCGCACGGGUGAGUAACACGUGACUAACCUACCCUUGAGUGGGGAAUAACUUCGGGAAACCGAGGCUAAUACCGCAUAACACCUACGGGUCAAAGGAGCAAUUCGCUUAAGGAGGGGGUCGCGGCAGAUUAGUUAGUUGGCAGGGUAAUGGCCUACCAAGACGGUGAUCUGUAUCCGGCCUGAGAGGGCGCACGGACACACUGGAACUGAAACACGGUCCAGACUCCUACGGGAGGCAGCAGUGGGGAAUUUUGCGCAAUGGGGGAAACCCUGACGCAGCAACGCCGCGUGGAGGAUGAAGUCCUUGGGACGUAAACUCCUUUCGAUCGGGACGAUUAUGACGGUACCGGAAGAAGAAGCCCGGCUAACUUCGUGCCAGCAGCCGC